AAUAGGAAAUAAAUUAAUUAAAAUCAAUAUAUUAGUGCAUGAAAUUCACAUAGUGAAAAAAUAUGUAGUGAAAUAGACUAAAAUAGCCACCGGGCAGCAGUGGAGGAGAAGAAAUACAGAUUUACACUGUUUUUGGCAGGAGGCCAAAUUUUAACAAUGAAUUAGGAUACGCUAUGACAGAACACAGGCGAGCGCGACCUCCGGGCUUUGACAGCUGUGAGGAGAAUGUCAAAAGCCCGGGAGCGCUUGACAGGAGACGACCUCGCUGUCAGAAGAUCUCGCGAUAACGAGCGGAGCGCUCGAGAUACGAGAUCAAAAGGACAGUUGAAGCAGGGGGGGAGGAAGACGGAGCUCGCGCUGAAGAUGGCUGUGAUGACGCAGUUAAAUAAGAAAAGAUGCGCAAGACGAAGGGUCUUACAUUGUAUCAGUGACGAUGGACAUGAUAUUACUUCUCUUGGUGUUUUCCCCAAUAAGUGUAAUCUGUCAGACAUUAAAGGAGUCAGGGCCAGGAAUUGUGAGACCUUCACAGUCACUUGAAAUGACCUGUAUAGUAUCUGGAUUUGACUUAAGCAGCUAUGCUGUGCACUGGAUCAGACAAACUCCUGGGAAAGGGCUGGAAUGGAUUGGAGCAGCAUGGAGUGGUGGUGGUACUGAUUAUACUGAUUCACUGAAGAUCAGAACCACAAUAUCUAAAGACAAUGACAAGAAGGAGGUCAAACUCCAGAUUAAGAACAUGGAGGCUGCAGACACUGGAGUGUAUUAUUGUGCAAGAGACACAGUACAACAAAGCAAUGAGGAGAUCAUACAAAAUCCAGCUGUGUCUACCAGGAAAUAAUAAAAAGACAUGGGAAAUAUAUGCGUUACUGAGCAUAAAAUAAGACCCACCAGAAAACACCUGAAUAUUGUGUUGAUCCUCAUCCUUAAAGGGCUUUGACUAUGCUACAGGGGCUGUAAAGUUAGUGUAGUUCAUAAUAUAGUGUCUGUACCUGUGUGUGAUGGUUUUCUCACAAUUCUUCUGUAAUUUUCUCCCCAAUAUUUAUUUUUAUCAGCAUACAAAAUGACUUAUUUGUCCGGAUUUCCCAGGUUGCAGUGCGUCGAGACCUGACUUCACAAGUCAGGUGAUCAGAGCGAGACUGUCCUGCUUCAAUGGGUGUUGGGACCGCUGGGUGGGAGAGAGUUCAAUUUGCAACAGCUGUAAGCACCCUGAUUAGGAAACACUGGUUUAACAUUGAAGGGAUCACAGGUGUGUUUCAAUGGGUGGGGUGGCUGAUGUGUGGGAGGGAGAAAAGUGACCUCAUAGUUACAAACUAUGGAACCAUGGGAUGUGUAGUUUAGAGAAUGAAUUCAACAGCAAAUACCCAG